GGGCAUGCCGGGAAGCGUAGUGCCGGCCGCGGGGGAAGCCGCCAUCUUGUGGCGCCGCCUGGUAGGUUCCCCUCCUUCGGACACCACGCUCCACCUGGCGCCGAGCCGUGCCGUGCCCAGCACCCUCUGCAGGAUCCUCGCCAUUUCUUAGAAGCCGGAGAAACCAGGCAGCAGGAGCGGGAGGCCCUCGGCCGCAGCCAGGCCGCUGAUGAGCACUGCCCGCCCUGCCCUGGGAUGGAGAUGCCACAAAACCACCCGCGCGCUGACAGCUGCAUGCUGGAAACCUGCCCCAGUAGCAAACGGGAAAGCGUACGGCAGAAAAACGUUUGUGGGUGCCACGGCAAAGCCCACGCAUGUGUCUUCCUGAGGCCAAAGCUGCACAGAAAUUGUAAACCUGGGGUAACCAUGAAAGUAAUUCUGUACUAAUAGAGAGUUUACAGGCGUUAAAAAGUUGUGAACUGUGAACAGAUUUUGCCGGGCACUACGCAUCGUACUAACUCGUUUGGCCUAGCUCCUUCACGCUGUCGGGCUGGUCAGGCUUCUACCGAAACCCUGCAUUACCUGCCUCAGCAGGAAAGAAGCUAUUUGAGGAUAACUAUUUCAUUAACAUUUCUCUGCCCUUUCCUUCCUUGCACAUUCUGGUAAGGGCUAACCAACUCUGUACAAAGUCUGCAUUUUCUCAUGUUUUGAGGGCAGAUUCUCCUUUAAGUAUGUAUACAAUGCUUCACUUAAUUACUGCUCUUAUUUCCACAACGUCAAACUAUAUUUUAAUAAAGGUGGCUUCUACUUAUUUCAGUGUUCAGCAAG